CCUACGGGAGGCAGCAGUGGGGAAUAUUGGACAAUGGGGGGAACCCUGAUCCAGCGACGCCGCGUGUGUGAAGAAGUAUUUCUGUAUGUAAAGCUCUAUCAGCAGGGAAGAAAGAAUUGACGGUACCUGACUAAGAAGCCCCGGCUAACUACGGGCCAGCAGCCGCGGUAAUACGUAGGGGGCAAGCGUUAUUCGGAUUUACUGGGUGUAAAGGGCGCGGAGACGGCGAUGCAAGCCGGAAGUGAAAGGCUGGGGCCCAACCCCUGGACUGCUUUGGAAACUGGAUGGCUGGAGUGCAGGAGAGGGAAGUAGAAUUCCUAGUGUAGCGGUGAAAUGCGUAGAUAUUAGGAGGAACACCAGUGGCGAAGGCGGCUUACUGGACUGAAACUGACGCUGAGGCUCGAAAGCGUGGGGAGCAAACAGGAUUAGAUACCCCGGUAGUC
rnacentral:rRNA from 1 species